CCCCAGCGUCGGACCAACCAAGGGGAAGCCAGAAUGGGGGAAAUGGGGGAAGGCAGAGGAUGGGGUGAGGAAGAAAGGGGCUGAGAAAUGGGAAGAGGCCGUUCUGCCUCCGAAACUGCAUAAUGGCAGGGAAGGACCGCCAAGACUGGAACCAGUACAAGUUGUACAGUGAAUCCAGGCAUCCUGUUUGAAGAUAGUCAAGUAUCUCUGGAGAGGCUCAUGGGGAGAGGAACUGAAGACACCUACCCACAGCCAGCAUCGACUGACCAUCCAUGUCAUGCAUUUCACAUGAUCGCCACAACAUCCCUGAAGGUGAAUGAGGCAAGAUGCCACAUAACGAGAUGGACCAAGGUUGGAGGAGGCCUUCUGGUUCAUUGUGGGUCUACUGGGUAGAAGACUUAGAGCAGAAGGUUCAAGGAUGAGAUUGUUUCGAUGUGAAGUCGUCAAGCUUGUGAGGAAGAACAAUAUGUAAACAGUUGUGAGAGAAGAUUAGAUGUGGGUUUCUUUGUAAGAAGAAGAUGAAUCCCAGGAAUUGGCAGGAUGCAUGGUGGUCUGCUGGAGGAAAGAGUGGAACUGCACCAUCCCUCUGCUAAGUGUCUGUGAGUGACUGGAACAUACACACGGAGAAGCAAUGGACUUCAAAGACUAUAAAGUAACAAAAUAAUUGUGAGCUACCCAUGUCUUGGGGUCAACAGAGAUUCACAUCAGCAUAUCACACUUUCCCAGUGAAAUCUGCAUCACCAUGUAUUUGUAAUUGUCAUCAGACAAUAACUCUAAGAUGCAGCAAUGUUUCAAUCAUAAAAAAAAAAGAUUAAAGCAAUUUUUAUAUGCUCUGUUUACUAAAGUAGAAAAUCUAUUACACAUUUUUAGAAAAAUUAUCAAUCACUAAGUUUGAAACAAAAAGGGAUUCCAUUUGAAUCCCUCUGAGGUUUUCAUUAUUUAGGAGUUCUUGUUCCUCUAACUUCAGGCAAUAAUUGACUUACCCUUCCAUUUCGUUUGGGGCUAGGUAUUGAUACGUCUAAAAUGAAUUCCAAUAGCUAAAAGCAUAAACUAUUUAGGAAUUAUGAGAGCCAUUUCCUGAAAUUCUGAAUACAUUUAAAAUUUCAAAAUUAACAUAUCAUGGAAUUUAAACUAACUACAUUUCUGUUCCUAAAUUAAUUAUACAUGUAGUCAUGAUCAAAUGAUUAUAUGCUUCUAACAGUGUAUAUAUGUGUUGAUGUUAUUGUUUUUAACUGUUAUUAGUACUGAUUCAUUCAACAAGCGAGGUCCCAAAUACCUGGAAAAAUAUUAUUUGUCUGGUUUUGUAAUAUCCAUCACAAAGGAAAUUUAGCCAAGCAUCCCAUUCCAGAUUUAGUGUGGAUGACAGUUUUGGAAGGAAGAAGAAUAUAAUUUACAGACUGGAGAACAGAAUAACAAAGUAAGAAAAAUUUAAAAAAAAAUUCAAAAUAGGCCUCUAUGUUUAUAGAGAAAGAUGAUGAAAAUAUUGUAUUAAAAAUAGGAGCUAGCUCUUUAAAUUGAUUUAUGUGGUCUGUUUUAAUAUGUCAAUAUUUUAUGUGCUAUACGUCUUUUAGCAAUCUAUUUUCAUGGACAAGCUCAUUAUAUAAAUGUGCACUUGUUGGAAGUGAGCUCUACCUUCCUCUCACACCAGACCUUAUUUGCUCAAAUGCAUUCUGGAUUUUAGGUGUAUAUGCAGUGUUUUUUGUUUCUUGUUUUCAUUUUUUUCCCCACAAAUUCAUUAGUUUUGUAAAGACUCUGUGAGGGUUCCUUUUUUUCUUUUCUUAAAGAUUUAUUUAUUCACGUUAGAGAGAGAGUGCAUGGGGAGGGGAAGAGGGAGAGAGAGAGAAUCUCAAGCAGACUCCUUGCUGAUCUUACAACCCUGAGAUCAUGACCUGAGCUGAAACGAAGAGUUGGCUGCUCAACUGACUGAGCCGCUCAGGUGGCCCAGGGUUCCUUUUUAUAAACUAGAUCAUAAUUGCAAAUAUUAAGAACACAUGCAUGGAGCCUAGAGGUCUUCACCUAAGGAAAACCAUUUUCCUCCAGUGAUUAACUCAACAUCACCAAGCAGUACCCCUUUGGGUCUAGUUUCCUUCUCUGUGAAAUGAAGGUUUGCAAUGGCUAAUUGUUAAAGGUCCUCUUUUUACUUUAUGAUUCUAUAAAAACAAUUAUCUUGGAAAUUUCCUUUUAAAAUAAGAUACAUGGGACGUUUUGGAUAUUUUUAGUGUAAGAAAUUAAGAAAUAGGAAUUCGGAAGAUAUAAAUAGAAGUUAACCAGAUGUAUACUUUCCUGGUAAAAUUCUCAUUCAGGAUUAGGUAAAAUGAAAAUCCCAGCAUUGGUAUGUGCAUGUGUGAAAUAUAUUUUUUUUGGUUUUAAUACACUUUAAUAUGCUGUUGUGCCAGCCCUAACAAAAUGAGUUUUCAAGCAAUAAUGUUUUCCCUAAGGAAAAAAUUAAUCAUCAGUUUUGGUCUAUGUAGGCAGUGUGUAGGCAAGACUCUCAACUUCCAGGAAAAUUUCUGUCUUUAGAGAAAGAGAUUUUCCAGCUACCUUUUGAAUUAUUUCCCUAAAAACAUGACUUGCCUGGUACAGAAGUGGCCUGCAGAUGUGUCCACCUUUACCAGAGUUGUGAGCAGAAGCUGAUAGGAAAGAGAAAGGUGUGUAUGGUGGAACUGGGGAGGCAGUGGGCCCAAAGUUGUUGCAUAAAGUCCGACUGACCAGAUCUCCAUGAGGUCUGUGGAUUAUUGACACCUGGAAUAGGUUGAAUGAAUCCCUCCCAAAUUCAUAUGUUGAUGUCCUAUCUCCUAGUACCUCAAGAUAUGUCUUUAUGUAGAGACAGGGUCUUUACAGAAGUAAUCCAAUUAAAAUUAGUCUAUUAUACAACUGGUGUUUUUAUAAAAAGGGGAAAUAUGGAAAUAGAUACAAAUACAGGAAGAAUGCCAUGUGAACAUGAAGACAGCCAUCUGUAUGCCAAGGAAUGAGGCCCAGAGCAGACCCUUCCCUCACAGCCCUCAGAAGGAGCCAAUCUUGCUGACAUCUUGGUUUUGGAUUUCCAGCCCCCUGACCUGUGAGAUAAUAAGUUUAUUUUGUGGUACUUUGUUCAGCAGCCCUAGCAAACGGAUACACCACUUAACUUGACUACAUUUAAGGAAUAAGCAUGCAGCAAAAAUUCUGAUUGUGUUUGAGUCAUCCCACAGAGUAAAGUGAAAUUUAUUUUGUUUAUUUGAAAUGAAAUUGGGUAUCUUCCUUUUUUGUGGUUGUAUGCGUAAUCACAAGAUUUUUUAAACUGAAAAAUGAUUAUACAUACACACACACACCUACACACAUAUAUAUGCAUUCAUAUAUACCCAUACAUAUGUUGCUAAAAAUGUUAACUAUAUAGAAAUACAGAAUGUAAAACGAAAGCCAUUUUUUACUCCUAUUUCCCAAGUUUUAGUUAUCUCCCUAGUGGUUAGCUGUUUGAAUCUAGCAUUGUGUUUUUAUAGUGCUAGAUUCUUAAUAUUACGCUGUAUAGACUUGAAUAUGAUUCCAGCCUGAUACUGGAGUUCUGCUAAAACAGUAUAUUUAGAGUCCAUACUGUGGGACUGUGUUAUAAAUGGGCUUUUAUACUUCUAUUAUCUCAACACCCUCAAUAAACUAUAAAAUAGGUCUAGUAUUUUAACUUACAUCCUGUAAUAGGUCACAUGUGUAGAAUUUAGUAUAGUAUCAACUAAGGACGAAUUUUUAAAAAAUCAGCUAUCAUCUGUGUUUUCUCCUGGCUUUGUUUUGUUUACUAAACUAUUUUUAUAGUUAAGAAAAGAACAACUGACUCCAUCUUGUUAAAACUUCUUUCUAGGAACCAAUAGUAAAUUACCUGGCUUUUCUGAAGUUUGGGUCAGUAAUAGCAUCGUAAUACACCCUUUUUAUGGAGAACUCAAGAAACCAGUAGUAGCUCACCUACCUGAAAUGAUAGACGAGGACUUCAGCCAUAAAGGUCUCUGAAUAGACUAAAUGAAUGUUGCCAAAUCCACACAAGAAAGCUCAUACCUUUCUCAAUAGACAUGUCCCCCGAGUCCUUAUUUGGUGUCUGUGGACUCAUGUUCCUAUAUAGCUCCAACAACUUCUGUUGAGCCUUACUCUUCGUAUUCACGAUGACAAGACUAAGAAGAAAAUUUCAAACUCUCAGUGGCUAGAAAGGAACCAAAAACUAUGAAGACAAUUGAGUGGAGUCAUUUAAUAACAGGGAAAACGUUGCUUUAGGUCUUGAGGGCAAUCUUAUAUUAGAGUACUAAACAAUAAUUGAUGCUCUCAAGUGCCCCUGAGUCAUUUUGAAAAAAAUUUUAUUGCAAUCAGUAUGCCUUAUUUAAGGUGAUAAAAAAUUGUGUAAUAAUUUAAGAAUGAUUUCCACCUAAAACUGUUCAAACAUUAAAAGGAUUUGGCGCAUAUGGAGUAAAGAUUUGGUUAUCUGAACAAUUUUGUUGUGUAGAUAUUUGAGGUUUUAUUAGUAUACCAAUUACAGUGUUGCAUUUGCUAAGAUGUCUACAUUCUGAUUGUACCUUGAUUUAUGGGACCUCAGUAAGAUAGAACAUUUACUCCAUUGGUUGAAAGUAAAUUACGAAACAACACCUGAAGAUUUGUAGCACUCCUGCUUAUCUAGGCAAGUUGAAAGCUACAUUGUAUCAGAAUGAAGGAAGCCCCACCAUCUCAGCAUACAGGGGCAGUUCAUAAAGAUGAAUGGACUUCAAACGAAGAGUCCUCAUUAAAAUGCAUGCUUCUCAUAGCAUGAUACAAGGCGAAGCAAGAGACCAUGAACAAGAUGCUAUAUUUUUGGCAAUUUUACAGGUAUCUUCUUUUCCUCAGCAUCAUAUCAACUGGUACAUUGUUAUUCAAAUUAUAUUCAAAUAGUCCAAUAAUGCCAACUUAGGGUUGAAAAACAAUUAAAAGCUGAGAACAUAUCAGAUAAAGUUUUCAGUAUUAUAAGUAAGGAAAAGCAAUAUUUGUAAUAUUGAACUAAAACACAGUGUAAUAAAAUUUAUACCAAGUUCUGAACAAUGGGCUUAUGCUUGCGUGCUAUUUGGUGAUUCCUCUAUAAUAUGCCUGUGAAGUUCGUUGCACUAUGCUGACAAAAGAGAACAGCUUAUUUAUAACAGCGUGGUAAGCAGAGGUCUUUCAAAGUGCAAAGAUACCAUCUUUCCCUCCCAAGGAGCAAUCGCUUUGCACAUAUGUGCUACAAAUACCAAGCACAGGGAACUUGGUUUUUAAUUACAAAGUAAAAUAUCAUUCCAAAAUUGCAUAAUUGGUGGUUGCCUUUUGCAAUGCAAUGAACAUAAGGGAACCUGACAUUAAAUAUUUGAGGCAGUGCCAUGACAUUUUCUGAGAUUUUAUUUUAUGCUGCUUUUAAGCUGCAAACUAUGUUAAAUUUGAAUUCCUUGAGGGGUAAUAGAGUGAUACAGAAUUAAAGAACCCAACUCUGAUGCUGGAAUGCCUGUGCUCACAGAUUGUACAGUUCAUAUUUUAGAAAAA